UUGCUGUGGCAGCACAUAAACCAAAAACUGGAACAAUACAGAGAAGAUUAGCAUGGCCCCUACUUGAGGACACAAUUUAAUGGAGCAAUCCACUAAAAAAAA